UGGGCUGGUCAGGUGACCCGGGUCCACCUGCGCUGGGGAAGUUCCCC
rnacentral:ncRNA from 1 species